CGGGGGGCAGCAGUAAGGAAUAUUGGACAAUGGACGAAAGUCUGAUCCAGCCAUGCCGCGUGAAGGAUUAAGGUCCUCUGGAUUGUAAACUUCUUUUAUGUGGGACGAAAAAAGGGAAUUCUUUCUCACUUGACGGUACCAUAUGAAUAAGCACCGGCUAACUCCGUGCCAGCAGCCGCGGUAAUACGGAGGGUGCAAGCGUUAUCCGGAUUCACUGGGUUUAAAGGGUGCGUAGGCGGGUAGGUAAGUCAGUGGUGAAAUCUCGGAGCUUAACUCCGAAACUGCCAUUGAUACUAUCUAUCUUGAAUAUUGUGGAGGUUUGCGGAAUAUGUCAUGUAGCGGUGAAAUGCUUAGAUAUGACAUAGAACACCUAUUGCGAAGGCAGCAGGCUACACAUAUAUUGACGCUGAGGCACGAAAGCGUGGGGAUCAAACAGGAUUAGAUACCCGGGU
rnacentral:rRNA from 1 species